GAGAAAGCGUGAGGUACGUUCUGUGAGGAAAGAUGUUCUGAGAUAUAAAAAAGUGAGGAAAAAGCGAGAGGGACGUUCUGUGAGGAGAGACGUUCUCAGAUAUAAAAAAGUGAAGAAAAAGCGAAAGAGGGACGUUCUGAGGAGAAAAAGUCUGAAGAGAGAAAAAGUGUGAAAAGAAAAAGUCCGAGGAGAAAAAGUGAGGAGAGAAAGAAGGGGAAAAAAGCGUUCUGAAGAGAAAAAGUGAGGAGAGGAAAAGCGAAAGGAAAGAGGAAAAAGCAAAGGGCAAGAGAAGCGACCAAGAAGCGGGUUUCUGACCAGCGCCGACGAGACAAUUCGCCCUUCCGUGUGCUUCGGCAAGCAAGCGUGUGGUGCGCGUGUGGGAGUGAGCAGCGCCGCCAACAAGGGAGGCACGGGUCGGUCACCAACAACACCAUGGUCUAAACCCGCGACGGACCAACAACACUAUGGUCUAAACCCACGACGGACGAUCUCGGUGCCCUCCAUACUUUGACUGGCGCUCAAGGCUGCCCCGCGAGAGGGUGCACGGCAAAGCUGGGUGCUGGCGACGGACGUGACACGCACGCACGCAUUUUCAGGACGUUUUCGCUUCACGGACUAUUUUCUGGCCAAUGACAGCCGAGCAAUGUGGUACCAGUGGCAUCAUGGAUUGAGGGUGAACGCAAAGCAGAUAAAAGGGGAGAGCAAACCACAGAGGAGGAGAUGCUCCGGAACCUGAUGAGGGAAAGCUAUGCACAGUCUCUUGGGGUUUCUUCGUGGACAUGUGAGCUGGUUUUAGACUGUCGUGAGACAACUGCCAAGGGCCCUGCAGUUGUUACGAGUGCAUAUGUGGAGAGACAAGGUUGUCCUGAAAAGAGGAAGUUCACACCGUAUUUAAUAAUCGCUUCUGUUUGAACCUUGAAAUCCUGCCAGGAGUUUGGAGUUUUAAAACAGAAACAUCCUCCCACCGUGGACAAAAUCAACUCCACCCACCCUGAACUCGUUCGUAUUUCAUCAGUAUUUUAUCACUUUCAAUGUUCGAGUAACAAUAUUUCCCUUCAUUUAUCAUUACGUGUUAAAUUAUAAUUGUACCCAUCGCCGGAAAAUAUAACAAUUUGAAAAUUUACAUUUUGCGUCUUGUAGUAUCUGUCGCACCGCUGCAACAUUGUUUUCUAGCUACUUGACGUUUGGUGAGGUGCGGUAUUUUAUUGUGAUAAAAUUUUGUAUGCUGUUUGUGUUGACAUUAUAUCUAUAACACACCAAUGGUAAAAGUUAUGUAACCCUUCAGUGUCAAUGUAUGUUUGUUCUGUGAUUUGCAACUCCUGGUAAUAUGCGAAGUCUUCGCACAUGCACAAUAAAAAGGGGAUCUUCAAGUCGAGCCCAUAUUGGAACAUGACGUGUUGUCAGUCCGUGCAUAACGACCAUCGAUGUGCUACCCAUGGUGUCAGAAGUAAACCUGAUAUAUGAAGGCAGUUUCAUAUAAGAAGAUUUACGUGAAGUACAAAGUACGUUACUGAACGAUGGCUUUCAAACCACCGA
rnacentral:lncRNA from 1 species